rnacentral:rRNA from 1 species
AAUAGAUACCCGGGUAGUCCACGCCGUAAACGAUGAGUGCUAAGUGUUAGGGGGUUUCCGCCCCUUAGUGCUGCAGCUAACGCAUUAAGCACUCCGCCUGGGGAGUACGGUCGCAAGACUGAAGCUCAAAGGAAUUGACGGGGGCCCGCACAAGCGGUGGAGCAUGUGGUUUAAUUCGAAGCAACGCGAAGAACCUUACCAGGUCUUGACAUCCCGCUGACCGCUAUGGAGACAUAGCUUUCCCUUCGGGGACAGCGGUGACAGGUGGUGCAUGGUUGUCGUCAGCUCGUGUCGUGAGAUGUUGGGUUAAGUCCCGCAACGAGCGCAACCCUUGUCCUUAGUUGCCAUCAUUCAGUUGGGCACUCUAAGGAGACUGCCGUACAAAUACGGAGGAAGGUGGGGAUGACGUCAAAUCAUCAUGCCCCUUAUGACCUGGGCUACACACGUGCUACAAUGGACGGUACAAACGGUUGCGAAGUCGCGAGACGGAGCCAAUCCGAGAAAGCCGUUCUCAGUUCGGAUUGCAGG